CGAGAAGAGCAAAGCUGGUCUGUGAGUUUCCCUCCUGCAGAUAUCUUUAAAGGACAAGAAGUCUUUUUCAGCAUGGAAUCAGAAAAAACGAACACACUGAUGAAGUGGAGAUCCAAAUCCAGCCCUCAAAUUCCAGGAAAAAGUCUUCAAAUUCCUUCUGCAACGGUUUCAGCCCAACACAUUUGGCAGCUCGGAGAGCAAACCCUAUGAAGUAUUCCCUGUUCGUUACCAGGAACAGAACAAGAGACACUGGUUACAUUCUGAGCUUUUGGAUGUAGGGUUU